rnacentral:misc_RNA from 1 species
UGGAUCCGCAGUUACCCCCUGCGACUGGGUUAUCCCUGAAAUCGCCAGUAACCCGUUCCUGCCAGCUUCAACACAGACUGAGGAUGCCAAUUCACUGCAUAUGUCUACUGGACCACUAAGACGUAAACAACAUGUGCCACAUGGUGAAAGACAAUCUAUCUUAGCCCGUCGAAACCGGCAAUUUGAAGCAUCCAUUUCAAGGAACAUGGCUACUGCGACUGAUGAUACCAUCAAUGACGCUGGUGAAGGGGAUGAUUGGACACAACCCCAUAUGACUGCAAAGAUCAACAACAAUGUACAAUGUAGGAGUCA